AUUGAACGCUGGCGGCAUGCUUUACACAUGCAAGUCGAACGGUAACAGGCCUUCGGGUGCUGACGAGUGGCGAACGGGUGAGUAAUGCAUCGGAACGUGCCCAGAGGUGGGGGAUAACGCAGCGAAAGCUGUGCUAAUACCGCAUGUGAUCUGAGGAUGAAAGCGGGGGACCAGGCAGCAAUGUUUGGCCUCGCGCCUUUGGAGCGGCCGAUGUCAGAUUAGGUAGUUGGUGGGGUAAAGGCCUACCAAGCCGACGAUCUGUAGCUGGUCUGAGAGGACGACCAGCCACACUGGGACUGAGACACGGCCCAGACUCCUACGGGAGGCAGCAGUGGGGAAUUUUGGACAAUGGGCGCAAGCCUGAUCCAACAAUGCCGCGUGCGGGAAGAAGGCCUUCGGGUUGUAAACCGCUUUUGUACGGAACGAAAAGGCUCUGGCUAAUACCUGGGGCUGAUGACGGUACCGUAAGAAUAAGCACCGGCUAACUACGUG
rnacentral:rRNA from 1 species